rnacentral:tRNA from 1 species
ACUCAGGUAGUUUAAUUAGAAUAAUAAUUUGUGGAGUUAUAGGUAUUGUGAAGAUCUUGGGUC